UAGCCGUAAGUGAACCUGCGGAAGGAUCAUUACAGAAUAAACUUGAUAAGUUGUUGCUGGCUCGUAAGAGUAUGUGCACACUUGUCAUAUUUAUCUUUCCACCAUGUGCACUAUGCAUAGGAUCCGAUUAAAAUGUGAUCAGGGGAAACCUUGGUUAUUGGAAACUGCUGUUGGCAACAACGGCUUUUUCUGUCUUCAGGUCCUGUGACUUAUAUAUACACCAAGUAUGUUAAAGAACGUUUAAAUGGGCUCUUGUAGCCUAUAUACUUUAAUACAACUUUCAGCAACGGAUCUCUUGGCUCUC
rnacentral:misc_RNA from 1 species